UACGUAGGGUGCAAGCGUUAAUCGGAAUUACUGGGCGUAAAGCGUGCGCAGGCGGUUAUGUAAGACAGGUGUGAAAUCCCCGGGCUUAACCUGGGAACUGCAUUUGUGACUGCAUCGCUGGAGUGCGGCAGAGGGGGAUGGAAUUCCGGCGUGUAGCAGUGAAAUGCGUAGAUAUGCGGAGGAACACCGAUGGCGAAGGCAAUCCCCUGGGCCUGCACUGACGCUCAUGCACGAAAGCGUGGGGAGCAAACAGG
rnacentral:rRNA from 1 species